rnacentral:rRNA from 1 species
GCGAAGCCUGAUGGAGCAACGCCGCGUGAGUGAAGAAGGUUUUCGGAUCGUAAAACUCUGUUGUAAGGGAAGAACAAGUACAGUAGUAACUGGCUGUACCUUGACGGUACCUUAUUAGAAAGCCACGGCUAACUACGUGCCAGCAGCCGCGGUAAUACGUAGGUGGCAAGCGUUGUCCGGAAUUAUUGGGCGUAAAGCGCGCGCAGGCGGUCCUUUAAGUCUGAUGUGAAAGCCCACGGCUCAACCGUGGAGGGUCAUUGGAAACUGGGGGACUUGAGUGCAGAAGAGGAAAGUGGAAUUCCAAGUGUAGCGGUGAAAUGCGUAGAGAUUUGGAGGAACACCAGUGGCGAAGGCGACUUUCUGGUCUGUAACUGACGCUGAGGCGCGAAAGCGUGGGGAGCAAACAGGAUUAGAUACCCUGGUAGUCCACGCCGUAAACGAUGAGUGCUAAGUGUUAGGGGGUUUCCGCCCCUUAGUGCUGCAGCUAACGCAUUAAGCACUCCGCCUGGGGAGUACGGUCGCAAGACUGAAACUCAAAGGAAUUGACGGGGGCCCGCACAAGCGGUGGAGC